rnacentral:ncRNA from 1 species
GAAAAGGCUCUUUUCAGAGCCAAAAAGAUAUUUCAAAAAGAAUUC